rnacentral:rRNA from 1 species
AUGGAGGCUCACGCGCAUCAUGCGGUUGGUGGAUCUCGGCUGCUGCGGCCAUGUCGAUGGCGGCGGAGGCGAGGGACCCACGCUUGCUGGUGUCGUGAUUCCAGUGGGUCGGAGCUGCUGGAGGUGAGGACCAGAGGUGCUCCUUUACGCGCGUUGUCUCCGUCAGCUACCUCGACCCCUGGUGGAGGGGCGGUCUCAAGUCUCACCGACGGUUUCUCGGUGCGCGGCCCCGUGUCGACGGUGGCAGAUAGACCGGCUGUAUGCCUGGUCGUGCUGCUGUUUUGGAGGGUACGAGAUCAGGCUCGCGGGUGCCCGCGCCCGAUCUGA